rnacentral:lncRNA from 1 species
GCCUGCUGUCAUGCAACGUGUCUUUGCUCCUCCUUCACCUUCCGCCAUGAUUGUGAGGCUUCCCCAGCCAUGUGGAAACAUAUUCGCAGAGCACCCACUAGGUGCCAGUAAAUGUAUGAGAAGUCCUGUGGAAUAAGACUGAAGUUGUCCUUGCCUUCAAGCAACUUGCAAUUGCCUAAGAACACAGUUUAAAACCACAAAACUAAGCCUUGGAAAUCACAUGCUGUCAUUUCUGCGAUCGGUCAUAACCAGUCCUGAUUCCAUGUUAGAGGAGACUACAUAAGGACACAGGUACCAGAAGAUGAAAAAUUUGGAGUCUAGUGAAAAGAAGUGACUUGCUCAAAAUCACACAGCACAUGAAGAACAGAGCCUCUAUGAUGAAUUUCUUGACAGGAUCCCAUUGAGGAUGCCACAUUAUGUUUCAUUGCCAUGUCUCCAUAGACUCUUCUUGGUUGUGAUGGUUUCUCACGCUUUUCUUGGUUUUGAAGACGUUGACAAUUUUCUUCCAUUGGGAUUUGCUUGAUGCUUUUCUCAUGAUUACACUGGAACUGUGACUUUUUAGAAGGAAGAUCAUAGAGGAGAAGAAACUGAGGUUCAAGGACUAGUAACCAGCAGCAGAUCACACAGCUGGAAGACAACUAAGAGCAAAAAAACGCACUUUGCUGAGAAGAAUUCUGAGGUCCUGUUUGAUGUCAACAGAAAGAAAUGCUAUAAUCAAUGUGUAAUGACAGCCAUACUAGUGACAAUAAGACCAGUCACAACAGAUGGAGGACUCAAUGCUUAUGUUGGAGAAGGAAGCUACAUUGUCCCUGAGUUCAUGGAAAUGUCAAGUCUAGAAGAUGGAAAAGUUCAGUUAAUAUCUCCAGAGACCCACAGCCUCCAGGCUGUGGGACUCCCUCAGACAGUGGCCAUGGAUGGCUGACAGGACGCAUUCUUCCCAGUCUGGCCCUGUGA